UUGUAAUAUUAAAAUCAAAGGAUAAGGAUUGGAAUUGGGGUUGAAAACAUAUGUUAAAAACAUACUUAGCAUGAGUGAUUUCUUAUUAUAUGGGAUUAG